UCAAUUUUAAUCUGAGUAUACCGUAUUUCAGCUGCUAUGCGUUAUUACUAUUGUCAACAGAAUACAAACUCCCUUCUCAAAUUUUCAUGUUAUGUGGAUCCAUUUUACGCAUCUCAUAGACAUUAGGAUUUCGAUUGUCAAUCCAGGGUAUAUGUCCGGUGUAAACUGUGGCAUCUAUGGCUUUUCUGGCAUGUCCGAUGGUGGAUUAGGAACAACACAUGGCGGAUUAGGAGGUAGUUUAAGAACAAGUUGUGGUGGUGGGAUGUAUGGAUAUCAAGUAGUAUAUACAACAUAGGAUGGUGUGGCGAUGGAUGUAUGGAUGAAUUUUGGAAUGUGAUACUGGAAGUAGGUAGGUGUGGUGUGUUAUUAUUUUCAAUCCAAUCUAUUGUGUUUGCUAAAUUAAAAUCCAAUUUAUAUGCUCGCCUCCAUGAUUUCGGUUUAAUUUUCAUUUUCAUUUUUAUGUAUGUAUAUAUAGCACACAUUUUACAUUAGUGAUGGAUAUAGUAAUAUCUUACAUUGGACAAAAUGCUAAUAGGUUAUCAAACAUUUCUGAUCUCGGACAUAGGAGAUCCUCCUUAUUUCAUCUUUAGUUUUUGUUGUAGGUUCUUUGGUGGUUAUCUUUGACUCUUUGGCUAAAUUCACAAUUUAGUUUUGGAAAAAAAAAACCAUAAUUUGAAAUAGAGAACUAGGAUUAUGAUGAUUAUCUGUGUGAUAUGGUGCUAGCGUGAGGUACAGAAAUCUCUUUCAUUCUUUUUCAUACCAGAAUUUAGGUUUGAUUUUUCACAGGCUUCGCUUUUAUCUAGGUCUCCUUAUUUGGGUCGCAGUUCUUCUAUCAAAUUCCAGGGUAUAUGUCCGGUGUAAACUGUGGCAUCUAUGGCUUUCCAGGCAUGUCCGAUGGUGGAUUAGGAACAACAUAUGGCGGAUUAGGAGGUAGUUUACGAACAAGUUGUGGUGGUGGGAUGUAUGGAUAUUAAGUAGUAUGUACAACAUAGGAGGGUGUGGCGAUGGAUGUAUGGAUGAAUUUUGGAAUGUGAUACUGGAAGUAGGUAGGUGUGGUGUGUUAUUAUUUUCAAUCCAAUCUAUUGUGUUUGCUAAAUUAAAAUCCAAUUUAUAUGCUCGCCUCCAUGAUUUCGGUUUAACUUUCAUUUUUAUGUAUGUAUAUAUAGCACACAUUUUACAUUAGUGAUGGAUAUAAUAAUAUCUUACAUUGGACGAAAUGCUAUUAGGUUUUUGAACAUUUCUGCUCUUGGACAUAGGAGUUCCUCCUUAUUUCAUCUUUAGUUUUUGUUGUAGGUUCUUUGGUGGUUAUCUUUGACUCUUUGGCUAAAUUCACAAUUUAGUUUUGGAAAAAAAAAAAUUGAAAUGGAGAACUAGGAUUAUGAUGAUUAUCUGUGUGAUCUGGUGCUAGCGUGUGGUACAGAGAUCAGGCUUUUGAUUUCGAUUGUCAAUCCAGGGUGUAUGUCUGGUGUAAACUGUGGCAUCUAUGGUUUUUCUGGCAUGUCCGAUGGUGGAUUAGGAACAACAUAUGGCGGAUUAGGAGGUAGUUUACGAACAAGUUGUGGUGGUGGGAUGUAUGGAUAUUAAGUAGUAUAUACAACAUAGGAGGGUGUGGCGAUGGAUGUAUGGAUGAAGUUUGGAAUGUGAUACAGGAAGUAGUGAUUUAGCAAUGACAUUUCCACUCAGAUAUAGCUCUGACAAGAAAAAUCAAGUUGCCGCUCAAGCUUACACCAUUUGUAUAGCUCAUAUGCUCUCUUAAAGAGUCGAUGACUGUGCAGGGACUUUUUUUAUUUUAAUGUGGACGUAAAGGCAAAUUGGAAAGCUUUAGAUGGAUCGACAAUCUUCUGUUGAGGUCACAAAUCUUUUGUGUCUUUGUGUUGAUUUGCAUUUUUGUUAUAGAUAGCAUGCACUAUGAUGCCUCCUUUGUUUAUGCUAAAAAAUAAUAAUUCCGCACUCACUUGGUUCUUCUAUUUUGCGAAUGAUUAUCCUGCCACCCUUAAACCCCUUUCACUAGGUAUGACAACUGAUGUUGUUGAAGCUCCAGGAACUCCAAGACCUGGGAAAAUUGUUCCAGCAACUGAUAGGAGUAAUGUAAAUGGAACACACGUAGCAAAACCAGUUGCCUCACGAUGUUGGGAUCCAAACACCGGGAUGAGUAGCUAUAUAACUGGAGUAGGAGGGUAUAUGUCCGGUGUAAACCGUGGCAUCUAUGGCUUUUCUGGCAUGUCCGAUGGUGGAUUAGGAACAACAUAUGGCGGAUUAGGAGGUAGUUUUCGAACAAGUUGAGGUGGAGGGAUGUAUGGAUAUUAAGUAGUAUGUACAACAUAGGAGGGUGUGGUGAUGGAUGUAUGGAUGAAGUUUGGAAUGUGAUAUAAUAAUAUCUUACAUUGGACGAAAUGCUAUUAGGUCACACAGAAUAAUGGAUCUAGACUGAGCAGAUCUUUCCUGGAAGGGAAAUGGACCUAGUUAAACAACUUCAGAUUGUGCUAUGUCUGAUAUUGUUUGAUACUAGACGGCUUCGUUUGUCUGAAGUUUCGUCAUAAUUGUAGGAUAUGGAUGCGAAGCAGUGGAGCUUGAGAAUAGAGUUACAUAUACAACCCUUCCAAUUUGCAACAUAAGCUACCUUCGCGGGAAAGCUAUUACAUUACUAACCUUCUUUUUUUGUUAACUGGCAAAAAUAAACCUCUGUUUUGGAUUUGAUAGAGAAAAAGUCUUUUCGUCAGUAUAAGGGAAAGAAUUCAAAAGAGAAGGCUAAGAUCUCUUAGAUGGGAUGCAGUGUCUGCUUUAUGCAUCUCCAUAUAUUCUAUGAUACUAAUUUUAAUCUUUUGAGAGAAUUGUCAGUUCCACUACUAGCAGGAGGCAUGUCAGUAUACGGGGGAUCGUCCCUAAAAGAACAACUGUUUUAUCUCCUUCUAAAAAAUCGAUUCUCUUUAUUAAUUCUCUCUAAACACAACUAACAUUGGAAAUCCACGCCUAUGAAAAUGUUUAUUACGGACACUGCUCAAAAAAUGGUUUAAUGGGAUGCAGUGACGCGAGUCCGACGCGGACACUGCUCAAAAUUGGAGCAUCCGUGUAACCAGCCACCACCAUAUCUUCAUUCGUAAAUCCAAAAACUCCAUUCGUAACGACAAAAAAAAAACCAUUCAACUCUCUCCUUUCCUCAAAAUCCAAAAACUCUUAGAUUUGUGAAAAUUAUUCACUGAUUUUUUAUUAUCUCUUCUUCAAUUCUUACUUACUUCAACCAGUGGAAGCAUAAUCUAAACCAUAACCAUAAAUAAAAUCAUUUCUAAACCUAAAUUCUGACCCAAAUAGUAUCAAAACGCAAGACGGUGAAGAAAGAAACUCAACAGAAGAAAAAUAAAGAUGAAAAAUUAAAGAAAACAGUGAACAAACUCCAAACAGUAAACCAAAAGGGAAAAAACGUCAAAGAUCGUAGAGGUGCUCAUCGACGAGAUAAAAGAGUACUCGCAUAUCGUGCCCAAGAAAAAAAAUCAGUUUUUGUUUAUGUUUUAGUUGCAGUUUAAGUUAACUGUAAAUGGUUAUCGGUCAAUUGAAAUGGUGACAAAUUAUAGUUUAUAAAAAAAGAUUUUAAUAAUUUUAGUUUGUAAACUAAUUAAUAGCAUUUUUCAACAUUAUAUUCCUUUCAGAAAUAGUUGAAAAAACUUCAAACAUAUCAUUUUACAAGUAAUAAAAAAUGAUUCCACGA